rnacentral:lncRNA from 10 species
ACACCAUUUCCUGCAAAAAUUGAUUGGCUAUGGUUCAUCACCUCCUCUGGGUGAUCUGCUAUCUUCCUUCUCUUAUGACUCAGGUUAUUGACAGCUGGGAAAAGGCACACACCUCUGACUGAUGGUGACCCAAAAAGAAAUCAUAGAGAAGCAAAUUUGGCUCCACUGGUUUGAUUUUUCCUUCCUUCCUCCUUACACAUCCAAGGAGGUUUUGCUCUGGAAAUCUCUUGCUAUGGACCUGAUGUCUCACUGUGUUGCCCAGGCUAUUCUCGAACUCCUGGGCUGAAGAGAUCCUCCUGCCUCGGCCUCCCAAAGUCUUGGGAUUACAGGUAUGAAUAAACAUGGCUGGACUAUUCUUUUUAUGUUGAAAUAACUUCAAACUUACUACCAAGUUGCACGAAUAGUACGAAUACCUCCCAUAUACCCUUUACUACAUUCACAAAUUAACAUCUUGUCAUAUUCACUUUAUAAUUUUCUACAUAACCACCAUACUAUAAUAAUGAAAAUGAGGAAAUUAAACAUUUAUAAAAUGCUGUUAUCUAACCCACAGUCCAUAUUUAAAUUUUACCAAUUUUAAAUUUUACCAAUUGUCAGAGUAAUGUCCUUAAUAGCAAUAGUUUUCCCUCCGGUCCAGUAUCCAAUUCAAAAUAGUAUCUUGCAUUGUGUGGUUAUAUGUCCUCAGUCUCCUUCAACCUAGCAUGUUUCCUCAGUCUUUCCUUACUUUUGUUAUCUUGAUGCAAGUGAAGAUUGCAGGCAUCUUUGGCAAGAAUAAAAUAGAAACAACUAUAUUGGUUUUCUGUAUUGCGGUCAAUCAAUUUUCACAUAGCAGCUAAAAGCAACACAUAAUUAUUAUCUCACAGUUCCUGUGGAUCAAGACUGGGCAGUUUAGCUGGGUAUUCUAUGAGGCUAUAAUCAAGAUUUUUAAGAAAUCAAAACAUUAUAAUAUACAGAAAAUAAAAAAUAUAAAUAAUACAUCCAGAAAGUAAGGAAGUGGCCAAAGAAUAAUGUCCUGUGAAAAGGACACAGGAGCCAGCUUUAAAGGGCUUUCACAGGCCAAAUCUGGGACAAUUUGAGCACUAGUAAUGGAUUAUAAUUCAUUGAACAAAAUAGGACUUCAUGAGUUCAUAGAGAUAUUAACUAAAAGUUUGAUGAAAAAGCAAUAUUGACAUUGUCUGAAUGCAUCUCCCCACAAAAUACUAUUUACAAAGGGGGAAAAGAGUAAGUGCACUGGAGAAGCCUGGUGGACACCACCUUCAUCAAGUGAUUCAAGUAAACAUCGCUUGUAGUAGACUAAGGGGUAUGGUAAACCACCUCAUAGGAUGCAAUGAGAACACAGCAUCACCAUGGCCAACUUUAUCAUGUCCCCGCCAAAUCCCUGACUCCUAGUAUUCACAUCCUCAUAUAAUCCCCUCCUCUUGAGUGUGGGUGGGACCUGUGACUUGCUUCUAAUCAAUAAGAUAAGGCAAAGGUGAUGGGAUGUCACUCCUGUGAUUGUGUUACAUUAUGUAAGGAUCUGUCUUGCUGGUAGACUCACUCUAGAGUCUUGCUCUCCUGCUGACUUCGAAAAAUCAUGAGUCCUACAAAUACUAGGAAAUAAAUUCUGCCAACAACCUGAGUAAGCUUCAAAGUGAAUCCUUUCCCAGUAGAGCUGGGGACAGAGACCAACACCCCUCUCAGCCAGGAGCAUGUCUCUAAUAUGUAAACUAACCAGACCAGAUCCUUAUCUCUUCUAUUUGGCUAUACACACAAGAGGUAACCCUUCUCUGCUUUAGUCAUUCCAAGGCCAGGUACCAGGCAACUAGGGGACACCUCUAUGGCUUAGAGCCUAUGGAAAGUAUUCAAACCUAAACAGUUCAUCUUGCCCUGCUUUUCACAUGACCAUGGGCCUGGAUCUCCUCUCACUCCUGCCCCUCUGCCUCCUGGCCACCCCAGAGCUUUCCCCCAAGGCCCUUUGUGGUGUCCUGUGCCUCUUGUCUUUAGGAUCUGUGAGUACAGUAAACUGUGUUUUCCUGAGCCUCCUUAUAUGUCCUCUUGUGACCUCACCUGAAUGAUCAUCUCAUGAAAGAACACAGAACACCAGCACAAAAUAUUCCAUAAUCAUCUCAUAUUGUUGUUUCAGCCCUGAUAUCAGCCACCACUUCUCCGAAGUCCAAAGUGCCUUCAUUCCUUUCAUUGGAGAACCAUAUUUAGAAACCAAUAUCUAGGCACUACGUGUAUUUUACCUAUAAUGGUAUUAACACUCGUGGUAAUACUUGUUCUCUUCAGACCAGUUCCUCCAGGUUGGAGGCAACACCGUACAGUGAUUAAGAGGCUCUGGAUCUAGACUGCCUGAAUUAAAAUUCUGGCCACGCUGGACAAUCUGUGAAGCCUUGGGAAAGGCACUUAAGCUCUUACAGUUUUAUACCCUGUGUGAUAGUGUUUACGAUAGCACCUACCUCAGAAGGUUGCUGUGGAACGUAGUAAGAUAUGAGUGUGACGCUCUUAGACUCAUGCCUGACAUUCAGGGAUUACUCAGUAAAUAUUUGUUGGGUGAAUGAUCCUUAUGUUGAUCAGAAGCUCUAACUGAAGAAUGAAAAUGAGGGGGAAAUCUUGCUCCACGUCCUUUUCAGACAAUAAUUAACGUAUUGAUUUGUCAGAGAUCUCAUCCUCCUGUGAGACUAUCUUCCUUUAAGACUUUAAGAAUUCCCUGUAAUAAUCUUUUUAGUUGUCUUUAAUGUAUUGACAACCUAGAAGAAAUCCCUGUAAAAUGUCACAUAUGUGAUCUAGAAGGAAAAAAAAUGCUUUCCACUUACACUUGUUUAUGUUCUUCCUUCUUCUUCAUUAAAAAAAUAGAAAAGAACUCACACAAGCCUGGUGCCAAACCUGGAUGUGUCUCUGUGUCCAGGACUCUGAUUCCUAAAAACAUCGAGUCAUUAUAGAAGACAUCAGGACCACUGAGAAGACAGUCAGGAAAUCAGAGGGGGAGAAGGUCAAGAAGGACGAGGCCCUGCAAUCCUUUUUAUUCCCCUGGUGUCCUCAGGAUGGUGAAUAAGAACUCUAGGAACCUGCACCUGCAAAAGAAGAUCCAGGGCAAUGUAGAGAUUCCACAUCCUGAGCUUUCUUUGAUGUCUUCUUGCCAGCUAUCCCCAAUUCCUGAUUUAGUUCCUCUUAGGGACAGCUAUUCUGAAGGGUCUCAUCAGAGAAGCUUAUUUGGUUUCUAUUGGACAAGGAAUACAUGCAUUAUAAACAUUCCAGAUAAUGUUUAUGUUUCAAAUUGGUUUUUCAGUUCCUUUGCAAUUCUUGCUCAAGUUUUCCUCACCUUCUAAGUCUGAAAAAGUAAUUUCCAAAUCAUGGUGAAGGCAUUAUUGAAAAAUCAGGACCUUGUAGAAUCUUACAGUCAUUUGGCCAGGCUAACGGUUUAACCUGAAAGUGGAAUGGAUUUCCCAUCCGGGUUCCCAUAGUGAACAACUAUGUUUUUGUAACAUAACACAAUGAAGGGAGUUGUCACUAGAUGACUCAGCUAGUUAGAAUCUCAACUCC